AUUGAACGCUGGCGGCAGGCCUAACACAUGCAAGUCGAACGAGUGGCGGACGGGUGAGUAAGGUCUGGGAAACUGCCUGAUGGAUGGGGUUAACUACUGGAAACGGUAGCUAAUACCGUCUUCCAUCAGAUUUGCCCAGUUGGGAUUAGCUUGUUGGUGGGGUAACGGCUCACAAAGGCGACGAUCCGUAGCUGGUCUGAGAGGAUGAACAGCCACACUGGAACUGAGACACGGUGCAGACUCCUACGGGAGGCAGCAGUGGGGAAUAUUGGACAAUGGGCGAAAGCCUGAUGCAGCCAUGCCGCGUGUAUGAAGAAGGUCUUCGGGUUGUAAAGUACUUUAAGCGGGGAGGCGUUACCCGCAGAAGAAGCACCGGCUAACUCCGUGCCAGCAGCCGCGGUAAUAC
rnacentral:rRNA from 1 species